rnacentral:rRNA from 1 species
CCUACGGGGGGCAGCAGUCGAGAAUCAUUCACAAUGGGGGAAACCCUGAUGGUGCGACGCCGCGUGGGGGAAUGAAGGUCUUCGGAUUGUAAACCCCUGUCAUGUGGGAGCAAAUUAAAAAGAUAGUACCACAAGAGGAAGAGACGGCUAACUCUGUGCCAGCAGCCGCGGUAAUACAGAGGUCUCAAGCGUUGUUCGGAAUCACUGGGCGUAAAGCGUGCGUAGGCUGUUUCGUAAGUCGUGGGUGAAAGGCGCGGGCUCAACCCGCGGACGGCACAUGAUACUGCGAGACUAGAGUAAGGGAGGGGGAACCGGAAUGCUCGGUGUAGCAGUGAAAUGCGUAGAUAUCGAGAGGAACACUCGUGGCGAAGGCGGGUUCCUGGACAUUAACUGACGCUGAGGCACGAAGGCCAGGGGAGCGAAAGGGAUUAGAUACCCCGGUAGUC